rfam:Ancylostoma duodenale strain Zhejiang A_duodenale-1.0_Cont34703.1, whole genome shotgun sequence.
GAAAUCUGAAUAACCUACACAGGGCCUUCAGUAAGACCCUUUGUACUAUUUUUUGGAAACCUCUGCUCAGGUAGAGGUUA